GUGCUCACUGCGGCAGCACAUACACUAACAUGGGAACAGUACAGAGGUUAGCAUGUCCCCUGCGCAAGGAUGACAUGCAAAUUUGUGAAGCAGUCUAUAUUAAA